UACGUAGGGCGCAAGCGUUGUCCGGAAUUAUUGGGCGUAAAGAGCUCGUAGGCGGUUUGUCGCGUCUGCUGUGAAAACCUAAGGCUCAACCUUGGGCUUGCAGUGGGUACGGGCAGACUAGAGUGCGGUAGGGGUGACUGGAAUUCCUGGUGUAGCGGUGAAAUGCGUAGAUAUUGGGAAGAACACCUGAGGCGAAGGCGGGUUGCUGGGCCGACACUGACGCUGAGGCGCGAAAGCCAGGGGAGCAAACGGG
rnacentral:rRNA from 1 species